CCUACGGGGGGCAGCAGUGGGGAAUAUUGGACAAUGGGCGAAAGCCUGAUCCAGCCAUGCCGCGUGUGUGAAGAAGGCCUUCGGGUUGUAAAGCACUUUCAGUGGGGAAGAAAGCCUUGGGGCUAAUACCCUCGAGGAAGGACAUCACCCACAGAAGAAGCACCGGCUAACUCCGUGCCAGCAGCCGCGGUAAUACGGAGGGUGCGAGCGUUAAUCGGAAUUACUGGGCGUAAAGCGCGCGUAGGCGGUCUGAUAAGCCGGUUGUGAAAGCCCCGGGCUCAACCUGGGAACGGCAUCCGGAACUGUCAGGCUAGAGUGCAGGCGAGGAAGGUAGAAUUCCCGGUGUAGCGGUGAAAUGCGUAGAGAUCGGGAGGAAUACCAGUGGCGAAGGCGGCCUUCUGGACUGACACUGACGCUGAGGUGCGAAAGCGUGGGUAGCAAACAGGAUUAGAUACCCCAGUAGUC
rnacentral:rRNA from 1 species